CAAAUGCAAACAUGUCAAUGAUAUGGGAGUUAACAUGUCAGUUUCGAUCAGCGAUGGGCUACAAUCCAAAACUAAUUCAUUGUUGAAUUGGAUUAAAAAAUGGAAUUCAAACCUAAUCCAGUUCCUUCACAUUCCAUUAUAUUGGCAAUAAUUUUAUCAGUCCAUCAAAUUUUUGGUUCAAAUUGGGUCAAAAUUAAUUUAAGCACAUAUUAUAAUAAACAUAGUUAAUUGCUUAUCUAAUUUUAUCGUAAAUAUAUGUAAUAAAAUAAUAGUAAGCAGCAUGUAAAUUUAUCAAAAAUUUAUUCUACAUAGGAUUCGGUUGACAACCAUGCAUAAUUAUAAUCCAUAAAUUAUUAACAAAUCAUAUAAUGAGAAGAAGACUAAUAUACAUACAUACAUACAACAUAUACACACACACACACACACACACACACACACACACACACA
rnacentral:lncRNA from 1 species